UAUAUAUUUAUUUUAAAGAUUCAAUUUUUAUGCAUAAUAAUUGAUUGUUGAGAUUACUUUAGGUUGGAAAAAAUUUUCAAUAUGGAUGUCAUGAUAUAUUUUACAUAAAGGAAAAAAAUUUAAAUAAAUAUUUAAAAUAUAAAUAAUAUAAAUAAAUAAAUAUUUUUAUUGUAAAAAAUGAUGAUAUAAAAGGAAAAGAAUGAGGAAUAGAAAGAGGAUGUUAGAGCACGGAUGAGUCGAAGAAGAGUCUGACCACAUAUAGAAGAAAAGAUAUUGGCUAUAUGCGUGAAUACAGUGUGUCUUGUUUGAGACAAGGCAAACAAUCAACGAUGACAAACAAUCAUAAAGGGAAUAAGAAUUCAAUUUUCUUCAGACUUCAGCGUGAGUAUCAGAUAUGCAUUCACAAUCACAUUUGCAUAUAUAAUACAAUAUUUAUAUAAUCUAUUAUAAAAUAUAACUUAUGAUCAUUCUUU